CAUCCAAAGAGGAAGACCUUAUGCUGAAAGUGAAUGGAACUUAGCAGAAAAAAAGAAUGGACCUGAAACCCACUGAAUUUUAUGUGUGACCUUUUUCCAAAAAUUACACACAUGCAUGAAGUCCAGAUGUAGAUGCUGGAGGUAGGACAGGUUCACUAAAUAGGCAGGGAGGACAGGCACUUUUAUUAUGGUGACAAAGAAGCCAGAAGAUGCAGGGGGAGACUAAGGUUGGAUUCCUGCCCUCCUCCACUCACCGACAUUUUUAAUUACGAGGGACAAUUCUGAGCUCUCAGAAUAGAAUUCCAAACUGAUAACCUGCAAAUUGAUACAAAGAUGGCAGAUCACUGGUCUUUCAGAGUGAAAAUCAUCAUACUCACCUUGCUUUAAACAAGAGUUGGUUCUACCAAAAAUGAUACAAAUAUUGAUGUACCUACUUCAUUUGCUUCACAAUCGUGCUCUUCCCUGAUUCUCCAGCUCCUGCAGACAAAGAACAUGCACAGAUGACAGGUUUCUAUAUUGGCCAUAUUUAAUGAACUGGUCAAUACCAUUGUUUUAAUGGAAUCGUGUUUUUUUUUUUAAAUGGAGAAAUAACAAAUGAAUCAAGGAUGUGAUGGAAGAAAGAGGAAACAGCACACAUUCUAGUUACUGAAAAGCUUGUACAACCACUGCUUUUUAGAGCACUGGAGCUGCCUUAUGUGUCUGCAGCAGCCCUGAUGUGGUCACACAGUGGCUCCAUACCACUGACCAGGUCAACCCAUAAUUUUUAUUGGCCCAACAUUUGUGAAUGGUAUAGAACAGUGAUUCUUAGACAUAUGUGUGUCACGCCCUCAAGGCAGCACAUAAACAUACAGCAGCUUCCCAAACAGAAGACAUUCCUGGGAAUGUUCAGCGGGGAAAGGGGUGGCCUGAGAAAGGGUUUGCUAUGAAACAAGGACUGCUACAUGUGAAAGAAGGAAAGAAAAAAAGGGCUAUAAAUGAGAGGAGGCUCAUAUAGGAAUGAGGAAGGGGUGGAAGUUGAGAAAGCCAGAGAGUGGUAUAUAAGGAUAGCAGAGAGGCUGCUGUAACCGGACUCUGGAGUAAGCCAGGGAGGCAAACAAAGACUGAGGGAAGGCAAGUGGCUUUGGAAGGUGAAGGCCGAGGAUACAGGAACCCCUUUAUUCCUGGCUCUGAGACUUAGCUGGGCCUAAAAUCAAAACAGUAGAGGCUUGCAGAAAGGCUUUGCAUUGCAUGUGUAGAUAUGCACAAAUGGAGAAAAAUUAGCCCCCCAAAUACUAGAAUGAGCAGAUGAGACAACAAUAUCAAUGACACUAUGAUUGCACAGUGAGAUAAAACAUGAGCUUACUAAUGACCUCUCUUGAUGGUAGCCAGGGGAGAGGGGGCCCAUGUUUGCCCUUCUCCCCUGUGGCCCCUCAGAGUGUGGGAGAUAAUGAAUAAAAUAGGGAGAGUUGUAGCUGGGGGGCCCUCAGGAACUGGGGCCUCCGGGUUCUUUGAACCGAUUCCCUCAAUUAUAGCUACAGUACACCCCUGACUGUAGCCCAGAAUGAAGAAGGGAAGGAUAGGAGAGGUCUGGACUGCUAAAAGUUUUUUAUUCCCACUUCCACAUUGGCAAAUGUCCAUUGUGGCACAAUUUAGGUGUGCUAGGCAGCAAAUCCAUUUGAACUAGCCUUAGCCUAGGAUAUAGCACUGAUAUAAACAGAUAUAAAAGAUCUGUCUGUGGUGCUUCUUUCAUACAUGCCAAGCCAACUCUGCAGUCCUUGGCCAAUGAUCAAGUAUGUACGUUUGUCAAGUGAGUUUGUCAAGGAUCCAGUCCUGCAAACUGUCCUGUGUUGUGUGAGAUGAGGGACAUGGAUUGGAUGGUCUCCCCAGCCUUGUAUACAUUUGUUUUUAACUGGAUAAGCAUUAAUCUGUAUAAACAUUUUCAAAACAGAUUUCACCAAAUUAAUAACAUUUAAAUGUUAGUGAUUAAGGGGCAAACUGUAUGUUUAUAUGCCUCACCCAGAUGGUUCUAGGCAGUUCACAGAUAAAAGCAAAAUAAAUAACCUAUAAAAAUAAUUAAAACAAUUUAAAAACAUUUAAACAUCACUAAGGCCAGGCUAAAAAGAUGGGGGUUUUACAGCUCAUUUAAUGUCUGAUAAAGAUCUUAAGCCUCAGAUAUAUACAGGGAGUAGGGAAGUGCACGGAAUGGGAUUUGUGUUCCGUUCCGACCUCAGAAUGGAACACAAAUCCUUGCAACGUUCCAUUGGAACAACCCCUUUCUGAGUCAGGACGUUUCAAGUGUUCCAACCCAUGAGGGCAGGCCUACGGUGCUCUUCUGGCCUCUUUGUAUGCACAGCAGCCAUACAAAUGGCUGCCGCAAAUGCACAGAGGCCAGAAGAGUGCCGUAGGUGGGGCAGCUUCAGCUCAAGACGCCAGGCGGGGUGCCGCUGCUUUCAGGUAACCAGGUAAUGAUGGUUAAAGGUACCUCCACUACCCCUCACCGUCAACCCUGGGGCCAUUCUCAUGGGCUGGAACACUUGAAAUGUUCUGACUCAGAAAAGGGUCAUCUUGUCCCAAGCUCGAAACAGGCCCUUCAUUUGAAGGGUAUUCUACUUCAAGCUUAAAACACUUGAAAUGACCCAUUUUGAGUCAGAGGUUAUGCUCAUGACCGCAGGAAAUCAGGCUAAGGGAGCCCAGCCCAUUUUCCUGCAUCCGUGGGAAUCGCUGGGAGCUGCGUGGCUCCCAGAGGUUAGCCUGCUUAAGUCCCCCCCCCCCCAAUGAGGGAAAUGAGUGCUCUGCUAACCCCGUUUUGGCGAUCUUGAGCCGCCAUGGCAUGGCUCCACAACAUGGCGACUCAUGAAGAGACCCCCACCCGGAGGCUAAAACAAGCCUCCCGGUUUCGGGGGUCUCCCCAGGAUGCCCCAAGCACUCCACGGGGCAUCCUGAGACUGCCCUCGGGCCCUGCAGGCCCACACAAUUACCAUGACAGAGCCGGUAAUUGUGUGGGCAGCCAAUCCAGCCACCCAUUCUGUGGGUGCUCAUGUUUGGGGAGAGCAGACUAGUCCACUCUUCCCGCCUAACCCCAUCCAGCUCUCCACACUGCUUGUGUGGAGAGCCUCAGAAUGUUUCAAGCUCCAAACGUUCUGCACAUCCCCAAUAAGGACUGCAUUCCACAGCCCAGGAGCAGCUACAGAUAAUGCCUGAUCCCAAGUCACUGCCAGGCGAGCUGGCAGCAGCCAGAGACAAACCUCUUUCGAUUACCUUAAUGUAUGGUGGGAAUCAUGCUGAAGAAGGCACUCUUCCAUAAACACAUGUAAUGAAGCUCCAACAGAAGUUUUAAAAUGAAAAGUUGCCUUGGGAUUUUUAAUGGUGAUGGUGUAGAGAGUUAGGGGACGUUUACUUCUUUCCCAAGCAGAUCUCCUCCACCUCUUAAAACUGUCCAAGUGUGGUUUCCUGCAUCUGGAACUUAUAGAGGUGGGUGGAAGCCGUUUGAGAGGAUGCCACUGAACAGAAAAUGGCUGGUGGGGAAGAGGUUAAGCUUCCCCUUCCCCCUCCCAUUCUGCUACUCAAAAUCUGUACAGGCUGCUUUUAAUGUUUUUUAAAGACCAUCUGGGCUUCAUUGCAUACAUUUGUGUGUAAUGUGCAGUUCCCCCCAAUUUAAGCAAAUGAAUCACGACACAUAGCCAAACGUAUGGAAAACAUUUCCUUGCAGCUCACAACAUAGGAGACCAAAAGCAUGGGUGAUAAAUUCAGUGAUUAUGCAAAGUUGGCUGAAGAGGCCAUCUGGGACAGCUUAUAAAUGACUACAAUUUUGUCA